UACGUAGGGCGCAAGCGUUGUCCGGAAUUAUUGGGCGUAAAGAGCUCGUAGGCGGCUUGUCGCGUCUGUUGUGAAAGCCCGGGGCUUAACCCCGGGUCUGCAGUGGAUACGGGCAGGCUAGAGGCAGGUAGGGGAGAACGGAAUUCCCGGUGUAGCGGUGAAAUGCGCAGAGUAUCGGGAGGAACACCGGUGGCGAAGGCGGUUCUCUGGGCCUGUACUGACGCUGAGGAGCGAAAGCGUGGGGAGCGAACAGG
rnacentral:rRNA from 1 species